rnacentral:rRNA from 1 species
UGAUCGAGCGACGCCGCGUGUGGAUGACGGCCUGCGGGUUGUAAACCACUUUAUAGGGGUACGAAUUUCUGACGGUACCCUAUGAAUAAGGAGCUGCUAACCUCGUGCCAGCAGCAGCGGUAAUACGAGGGCUCCAAGCGUUAUCCGGAAUUAUUGGGCGUAAAGCGUCUGUAGGCGGUAGGCAUUGUCGUAGGUUAAAUUUCCCGGCUCAACCGGGAACCUGCUUACGAAACGUGCAUACUAGAGGGUGUAAGAGGCAAGUGGAACUCAUGGUGUAGGGGUGAAAUCCGUUGAUAUCAUGGGGAACACCAAAGGCGAAGGCAGCUUGCUGGUGCACUCCUGACGCUGAGAGACGAAAGCGUGGGGAUCAAAAAGGAUUAGAUACCCUUGUAGUCCACGCUGUAAACGAUGAACACUAGCUAUGUGGAGUAUCGACCCUCCACGUGGCGAAGCUAACGCGUUAAGUGUUCCGCCUGGGAAGUACGGCCGCAAGGCUA